rnacentral:rRNA from 1 species
GAUGCUCUACAUUUCCUGGUUGAUCCUGCCGGACCUGACUGCUAUCGGAUUGGUACUAAGCCAUGCGAGUCGUUGUAGCAAUACAAGGCGGACUGCUCAGUAACACGUAGUUAACUUAACCUAUGGAUGGGCAUAACCUCGGGAAACUGAGAAUAAUACCCAAUGGACCACAGUGCCUGGAAUGGCCUGUGGUUGAAAUGAUUUAUCGCCGUAGGAUAGGACUGCGGCCUAUCAGCUUGUUGGUGAGGUAAUGGCCCACCAAGGCUAUAACAGGGACGGGCUCUGAGAGGAGGGGCCCGGAGAUGGGUACUGAGACACGGACCCAGGCCCUAUGGGGCGCAGCAGGCGAGAAACCUUUGCAAUGUGCGAAAGCACGACAAGGUUAAUCCGAGUGUCUCCUGCUAAAGGAGUCUUUUGUCAGUUGUAGAAUCACUGGUGAAUAAGGGGUGGGCAGGUUCUGGUGUCAGCCGCCGCGGUAAAACCAGCACCUCGAGUGGUCAGGAGGUUUAUUGGGCCUANAGCAUCCGUAGCCGGUUGCAUAAGUUUUCGGUUAAAUCUAUGCGCUUAACGUAUUU